GUUCUUUUGUUUAUAUAAAAGAUUUGACCUGCCCAAUGAUUGUUGUUUAAUGGCUGCAGUAUUUUGACUGUACAAAGGUAGCAUAAUCAUUUGUCUCUUAAUUGGAGUCUAGAAUGAAUGGUUUGAUGAAAAAUAUACUUUCUUUUUUAUAUAUAUAGAAUUUAAUCUUUUAGUUAAAAAGCUAGGAUAUGAUUAUAGGACGAGAAGACCCUAUAGAACUUUAUUUUUAGUUUUAUAUAUUUUCUAUAGUAAUUAUUAAAUAUAUAUAAAAGUUAAAUUUUGUUGGGGUGACAGAAAAAAUUUAAUAACUUUUUUUGAUUUUUUCAUUUAUAUAUGAAUUGUUGAUCCUUUACUAUGGAUUAAAGAUUAAGUUACCUUAGGGAUAACAGCGUUAUUGUUUUAGAGAGUUCAUAUCGAUAAAAUAGUUUGCGACCUCGAUGUUGGAUUAUAAUAAGAUAUAGAAGUAGAAUAUUAUAUUCUAGGUCUGUUCGACCUUUAAAUUUUUACAUGAUC
rnacentral:rRNA from 1 species